AAGUCGUAACAAGGUUUCCGUAGGUGAACCUGCGGAAGGAUCAUUAACACGUAUCCAACGUUAAACAACCCUGUGAACUUUAAGUCCCCUCUUGCAGCCCAUGAGGAACAGCAAUCCCGGUAAAUCAUUGCCAAACAGUUUUGAUUCGGGACCUCUGUCCAAAAGGAGUUGCAAUCGAAGGGUGGAAGCAGUGAAUGACAGUGUCACUGACUGUGUAAGGAUAACGCCUCACGGUUGCUAGAGGUCGAUCACCGACCGGCAGACAUGUCACAGGGUCACCACGCCCCUUAAUCACUCCACUUGAAAAUGCCCCGCCUAGUGGUAACGCGCUAGGUAAAAAAAACCGAACAACUGUUAACAAUGGAUAUCUUGGUUCUC
rnacentral:misc_RNA from 1 species